rnacentral:miRNA from 1 species
AUCCUUCUGGUCGAUGAGGUGUAACAACCUCAUCGACUGGAAGGGAUCCCUUCCAGUUGAUGAGGUUGUUAUACCUCAUCAACCAGAAGGAACCCCUUCCGGUUGAUGAGGUUGUUGUUUCACAUUGACCGGAAGGAU